UACGGGGGGUGCGAGCGUUGUCCGGAAUCACUGGGCGUAAAGGGCGCGUAGGCGGUCAGCACAAGUCAGUUGUGAAAUCUCCGGGCUUAACUCGGAAAGGUCAACUGAUACUGUGCGACUAGAGUGCAGAAGGGGCAACUGGAAUUCUCGGUGUAGCGGUGAAAUGCGUAGAUAUCGAGAGGAACACCUGCGGCGAAGGCGGGUUGCUGGGCUGACACUGACGCUGAGGCGCGAAAGCCAGGGGAGCGAACGGG
rnacentral:rRNA from 1 species